GCCGCGUCGCGGGCCCGUGCGCGUCCCUCGGGGCUGCGCGCUGUGCCGGGGCCGGCGCUCCGUAGCAGCAGGCCCGUGCGGUGCCGCCGGGCACGUUUCGUUGGGCUGCGUUUAACACCCGCCUCUCUCCUUUCUCGUUGCAGGCCAUGAUACAGCCCUACGGUGCCGUUUGGAGUGGGUGAAGCAAGGGGGGGUGCCUGAAAAUGCCCAGGCGGGCGGCGGUGACCAUCACCGUGGCGACCCUGCUGGGUGUUGCCGUGGGGGGCCUGGUGGCGUGGAGAGCCGCUCGGCGUCGCAGGGGGACAGCAUGCGGUAGCGGUCAGCGAGGAGCAGGAGCGAGAAACUCGGGAGAGGAGAAGCUGGUUGAGGUGGAGGAUAAGGAGGCGCUCGCCUUCUUCGCGUCUCCCACCUUUUCCUGGGUAGAGAGGAUCCUUGGUGCCGACGUAGUGAUAGUUUCAGAGCAGGAGCAGUGGGAUCGUGUUGAACCAUUGCUGAAGAAAGAGCUGGAGAAGUGGCCAGUGCUGGGAAUUGAUUGUGAGUGGGUAUCUGUGGAAGGAAAAGCAAAUCCUGUGUCCCUGCUACAGAUGGCUUCUUCCAGCGGUCUUUGCAUUCUUGUUCGGUUGCCCAGGCUUGUUGCCGGUGGACAGCCUAUCCCAAAGACUCUCUUGGACAUCAUGGCAGAUAGUACUGUUUUGAAAGUUGGGGUAGGAUGCUGGGAAGAUGCUUGCAAGUUACUUCAGGAUUACGGCUUUCCGGUCAAAGGGAGUGUGGAUCUACGAAAUUUAGCCAUGAGACAACAGAAGGAUCUGCUUCACAACUGCCUUAGCCUUAAGUCUUUAGCUGAAAAAGUCCUGAACUACCCACUUGACAAGUCUUCUCACGUGCGUUGCAGCAACUGGGAGGCAGAAGAACUGACACAAGAUCAGGUCCUCUAUGCUGCUAAGGAUGCCCAGGUCUCAGUGGCUCUGUUCCUCCAUUUAUUGGGACUUGCCUUCCUGCCUGCUACAUCUGAAGGUGAAAAAUCUGUUGCUGCUUGGGAAGAAGCACUGCAUAGGUGCCAGGGCUUGGUGGAUAUCCCAUUUAGAGGAAGAAGGAGCGGCAGCGCAGGAGAAGAGAAGAGUGGAGAGGUAGGCUCCCCACAGAAAAUGAAGAAUCGGAAAUCUACCGCGAACAGCCAGCCUUCUGGCAGUCAGCAAGCGAGGGAUCCUCGGAGGCAGAAGCGAAAGCCUCUAGGUGUAGGAUAUUCUGCAAGAAAAUCUCCGCUGUAUGACAACUGUUUCCUGCAUGCACCAGAUGGACAGCCUCUCUGCACCUGUGAUCGCAAGAAGGCUCAGUGGUAUCUGGACAAGGGGAUUGGAGAGUUGGUUAGCACAGACCCAUUUGUUGUGAAGCUGCAGUUUGAGCCUUCAGGACGUCCCGAGUCUCAAGUUGAUUAUUAUCUGACUGUCAAGGAGAACCUGUGUGUUGUGUGCGGCAAGCGAGAGUCCUACAUCCGGAAGAACAUUGUUCCUCACGAAUACCGGAGACACUUUCCCAUCCAGAUGAAGGACCACAACUCCCAUGAUGUGCUCUUGCUCUGCACAUCAUGCCAUGCCAUCUCCAAUUACUAUGACAACCAUCUCAAGCAGCAGCUAGCUGAGGAGUUCAGUGCCCCCAUUGGCUCCGAGGAAGGGGUGCGUCUGCUGGAGGAUCCCCUGCGCAGGCAGGUGCGCUCAGGGGCCCGAGCCUUGCUGAAUGCAGACAGCCUACCUGACCCCCGAAGGGCAGAACUUCUGCAAGGCAUUAAGGACUACUUUAACACAGAGGCAGUGACCCCAGAGAUGCUCCAAGAAGCAGCUGGUCUGGAAACCAGGAUUUGCAAUGAGAACUUUAUGCCACAUGGGCUGAAGGUGGUGCAGUGUUUUGCUAAAGGAGGCCUGCGCUCCCUCAUGCAGUUGGAAAGACGCUGGCGGCAGCAUUUCUUGGACAGCAUGCAGCCCAAAUAUCUCCCAGAGCAGUGGUCAGUGGACCAUAAUCACGGGAAGCUGAUUCGGAAGUAUGGGGAGGAUCUUCAGAUUGAGCUGUCAUGAGACCAGUUUCCUGGAGAGACUCUAGAUGAUGUCUAAUGGACACAUGUAACAGAAGGCUGACCACUGAGCUGUUGUUUUCUGUUUGUUGAAACAAGAAAACGAUGUUGAGACAAGAAUCUAACUGCAAUUCCUCUGAAUAUAAGGAGUCAAUGUAACCUUUGGACUUCACCUUCUGAACUUCUUCCUGUGCCUCCCCUUGUCUGUCUGGCAGU